rnacentral:rRNA from 1 species
AUUGAACGCUGGCGGAAUGCUUUACACAUGCAAGUCGAACGGCAGCACGGGGCAACCUGGUGGCGAGUGGCGAACGGGUGAGUAAUACAUCGGAACGUGCCCAAUCGUGGGGGAUAACGUAGCGAAAGUUACGCUAAUACCGCAUACGAUCUACGGAUGAAAGCGGGGGAUCGCAAGACCUCGCGCGAAUGGAGCGGCCGAUGUCAGAUUAGGUAGUUGGUGGGGUAAAGGCUCACCAAGCCAACGAUCUGUAGCUGGUCUGAGAGGACGACCAGCCACACUGGGACUGGGACACGGCCCAGACUCCUACGGGAGGCAGCAGUGGGGAAUCUUGGACAAUGGGCGCAAGCCUGAUCCAGCCAUUCCGCGUGCAGGAUGAAGGCCUUCGGGUUGUAAACUGCUUUUGUACGGAACGAAACGGUUCUCUCUAAUACAGGGGGCUAAUGACGGUACCGUAAGAAUAAGCACCGGCUAACUACGUGCCAGCCGCCGCCGUAAUAC